CGUGUCCCUAGAGGUGUUACAGUUAUGGCUGCUGUGUCACAUACCCAUCAAUAGGCAGAGAGGAAAGAGGCUGGUGUCUAUGAUAUAUUCUGACCUAUGGAUUUCUAAAUUAUUAGUAACCUAACAUU
ensembl:snoRNA Gm23586 small nucleolar RNA SNORA17